GUGCCUGGCCAGCGCUGUCUUAUUUCUAGUUCAUACUCUAAAUGUUCAUACUUGACUCACCCCAGUCUAUCUCUAGCCACAGGCCUCCACCACGCAGCCCACCAGCCCACAUCUUCACUGACAUAGACACCAGGCAGGCUUCCUUCAAGGCCGCUGUUUUUGCCCCUUCUCAACUAAAGCCUGUAGCCUCGCACAGACACAUAGGCUUGGAGGGCCACUAACUCACUGCCAGACCUUGGACAAGUCGCUCCACCUCCCUGAUCCUGCCCUUCUGCAUCUGAAAAGCGUAGUAUUAAAGGAAAAUGCAUCUGUCUGCACGAAAACAGAAACACAGCUCCUAGGUUCUGGUUCCAGUGGCUCUCAGGUUGUGUGACUUUGGGCCAGUGUCCUAACCUCUCUGGGCUUCAGUUUCCUCACCUGUCAAAGAGGAAUUAACAGGACCCACUUCACAAGGCUGUUGCAGGAUCAGAUGAGUUCAUUUAAAAGUGUCUGCAGCCUGAGCAACCUAGUGGCACCCCAACUCUAACACAAUUUAAAAUGUGGCAUGCACCUGUAGUCCCAGCUACUUGGGAGGCUGAAGAUGGCUUGAGCCCGAGAGCUGGAGGCUGCAGUAAGCUAUGAUCAUGCCACUGUACUCCAGCCUGGACGACAGAGCAAGACCCUGUCUUGUGUGUGUGUGUGUGUGUGUGACGGAGUCUCGCUCUGUCACCCAGGCUGGAGUGCAGUGGCAUAAGAGAUGAAACACACCCCAGCCAGGUGUCUGCCUUGCAGCUGGGACUAGCUUCUCCCCACACUUCGUCCUGUCUUUACCCAGGGGGCCUUCAACUAUCGUGCACCUCCCAUCUGAGCAGACUCCGAGGACAUCCCAUCUCCAGCCCAGACGCACACUCUGAGCUUCGUCUAUGUGCGCCUCCCAAGUAGCUGGGACCGAAAGCACGUGCCACCAGGCGUGCAAACAAGCUCUUGGAGAGAAGGAGAGGAGAAAAACAGGUGAAUACGGUGGGGGUGGGGUAGAGCAGGCAAUGGAGGAAGAAGGGGACCGAGGGCUGAGGGAGAAGGAUGUUACGCUUUUGAAAAGGGAAAGAGGCUGGGGCAUGGCAGCUCCCGCUUGUAAUCCCAGCACCUUGGAAAGCGGAGGCAGGAGGAUCACUUGAGCCUAAGAGUUCCAGACCACACUGAGCAACGUAGACCCCACCUCUACCAAAUAAUUUUUUUUUUUUUUUUAUUGAAACAGUCUCCCUCUGUUACCCAGGUUGGAGUGCAGCAGUGUAAUUUUGGCUCACUGCAACCUCUGCCUCAGACUCUCGAGUAGCUGGGACUACAGGUGUGCACCACCACGCCCGGCUAAUUUUUUGUAUUUUUAGUAGAGACGGGGUU
rnacentral:lncRNA from 1 species